AAUUUAGAAAAAAAGAAAAUGUAUACAGGGCCCCAAUUGAAUGUCGGCGUAAAAGGGAAGGACCCACUUAACAAAUAACCCAUUUAAGGUGCAAAGGCACGGGUUCGGGUCUAGGAACGGUUUUACACGCGGAUCCCUUCCCCUGGAACGGUGCCGUUUCAUUAGCUGAACAAAAUCAAGCCUAAAACCCUAAAAUACAUUCAGCCACUUAAGAACAAAUCAAAGGAAAAAAAAACCUCAAGUCCUUCUCCUGCUUCAUUCGGCUGAACCAAAAAUAGAACCCUAACCUCCCCAUUUCAUUUCCCUCAGCCGAACCCUAUGCUUCCCUCUUAAGUGCCGAUCUGCCACCGUGAACGGCGACCAACAUGCUUAAGCCUCGGGGUUCUUCUCUUUUAACCUUGAGAUCCUCUUUAUACUUCGAUCUCGGCGAAGCAGAAGAGGUUUCACGGCAUAUUUACAAGGGACGGCAGAGAGUGGUUGAAGGCAGAAGGCAUGGGGCGAUGAGACUUAGCUAGGGUUUUUUUUAUUAUUUUUCUUUUGUUUUAUUUUUUUCUGAAAAUGUUGUGGCUGUUGGGCUUCGGGAAAAUUUGGGCAUUUACAAACAUAAUCUUUUUUUUUAGUUACUCCAAAUAGUUGACACUCUUAAUUAUUUUGGGUAAAAAUACUAUUUCAAACUUAUGUGUAUCGAAAUAUUUUUGUGUGUGUUAGAAAAGUGUACUUAUUUAUUGAAAUCGAUUUGUUUUGUGUUAAAAA